CAAUGCGACCGCUGCAUCGCCAGUAACCUCUUCGCAAUGGCAACACAAGCAGGAACCUUGGCUACUCCUCGUUUAAGUCCCCAAGUGGUUCCCUUCAUGAACGAGGACAUGGACAUGUACCUCGACGGUGAGCUCAUCCACCACUACCACCUCGACUCCGCGCGCAAGGU